rnacentral:rRNA from 1 species
GAUGAACGCUGGCGGCGUGCCUAAUACAUGCAAGUCGAACGAUCAGACGAGGAGCUUGCUCUUCUGAUGUUAGCGGCGGACGGGUGAGUAACACGUGGAUAACCUACCUAUUAGACUGGGAUAACUUCGGGAAACCGUAGCUAAUACCGGAUAAUAUUUUGAACCGCAUGGCUCAAAAUUGAAAGAGGCUUUUGCUGUCAUUUAUAGUUGAAUCCGGGUUGAUUAGCUAUUUGGGUAAGGUAACGGCUUACAAAGGCAACGAUCCUUACCCGACCGGAGGGGGUGAUGGGCCACACGGAAACUGAGACACGGUCCAACCCCCAAGGGGGGACAGGAAGGGGAAAUUUGGCGAAAGGGGCAAAAGCUUAACGGAGAAACGCCGGGGGGGGAAUAAGGGUUUUGGGAUGGAAAAACUCUUUUAUAGGGAAAAAGCGAGUGAGAAUGAAACGUUCACAGUGUGACGGUAACUUAAGAGAAAGGCACGGCUAACUACGUG